CCUUUCCAUCAAAUUGCAUGAAUUUGGGUGGCUAAUAACCCAUUGGCAUCCUCAAGGUGUCAAUCCUUUUAGAGUAUGGCUUUUAGUACAACACGGAAUCAUGCGAGCUUCUUUCAUAUUGCGCCUUGAUUGUGCUUAUGAUCAUCUCUUGCAACUCUUAGAUAGAGAAAGAUCCCAUGAGCGUCGCAGCUCGGUCCACCUUUAGCUUCUCCUCAACUUUGUCUAUCUGAGGCUCUUCCUUUUUGUCAGUUUCCUCCUUUAGUGGACCAAACCUUCGGGUUAGCUUUCUAGUCAUGCUGCGCCUCCAGACAGUUGACGAGUGUAGCAAUUUGCAAGUCUUUUUCCUUCAUGGUCCUUGUCAGCCUUGCGAUUGCUUCGCUCAUUUGUGCCAGCUGCUCUUUGAUUAAAGUCGCACCAGUAGUCAUGACUUGCAUGGCUACGUGAUACGAGCUGCUGCUUGAGUCAGAAGUCAACGACUCAUAGUACCUUUUCAGGCUUUCUUUCCUUGGUGCCCUUAGCGAGGCAAGGGUGAUCACGGGC
rnacentral:lncRNA from 1 species